GUUGGGUAGGGGAGCGUUCUGUAAGCCUGCGAAGGUGGCCUGUGAGGGUUGCUGGAGGUAUCAGAAGUGCGAAUGCUGACAUAAGUAACGAUAAAGCGGGUGAAAAGCCCGCUCGCCGGAAGACCAAGGGUUCCUGUCCAACGUUAAUCGGGGCAGGGUGAGUCGACCCCUAAGGCGAGGCCGAAAGGCGUAGUCGAUGGGAAACGGGUUAAUAUUCCCGUACUUGGUGUUACUGCGAAGGGGGGACGGAGAAGGCUAUGUUGGCCGGGCGACGGUUGUCCCGGUUUAAGCGUGUAGGCUGGUUUUCCAGGCAAAUCCGGAAAAUCAAGGCUGAGGCGUGACGACGAGGCACUACGGUGCUGAAGCAACAAAUGCCCUGCUUCCAGGAAAAGCCUCUAAGCAUCAGGUAACACGAAAUCGUACCCCAAACCGACACAGGUGGUCAGGUAGAGAAUACCAAGGCGCUUGAGAGAACUCGGGUGAAGGAACUAGGCAAAAUGGUGCCGUAACUUCGGGAGAAGGCACGCUGACAUGUAGGUGAAGUGAUUUACUCAUGGAGCUGAAGUCAGUCGAAGAUACCAGCUGGCUGCAACUGUUUAUUAAAAACACAGCACUGUGCAAACACGAAAGUGGACGUAUACGGUGUGACGCCUGCCCGGUGCCGGAAGGUUAAUUGAUGGGGUCAGCGCAAGCGAAGCUCCUGAUCGAAGCCCCGGUAAACGGCGGCCGUAACUAUAACGGUCCUAAGGUAGCGAAAUUCCUUGUCGGGUAAGUUCCGACCUGCACGAAUGGCGUAAUGAUGGCCAGGCUGUCUCCACCCGAGACUCAGUGAAAUUGAACUCGCUGUGAAGAUGCAGUGUACCCGCGGCAAGACGGAAAGACCCCGUGAACCUUUACUAUAGCUUGACACUGAACAUUGAGCCUUGAUGUGUAGGAUAGGUGGGAGGCUUUGAAGUGUGGACGCCAGUCUGCAUGGAGCCGGCCUUGAAAUACCACCCUUUAAUGUUUGAUGUUCUAACGUGGACCCGUGAUCCGGGUUGCGGACAGUGUCUGGUGGGUAGUUUGACUGGGGCGGUCUCCUCCUAAAGAGUAACGGAGGAGCACGAAGGUUGGCUAAUCCUGGUCGGACAUCAGGAGGUUAGUGCAAUGGCAUAAGCCAGCUUGACUGCGAGCGUGACGGCGCGAGCAGGUGCGAAAGCAGGUCAUAGUGAUCCGGUGGUUCUGAAUGGAAGGGCCAUCGCUCAACGGAUAAAAGGUACUCCGGGGAUAACAGGCUGAUACCGCCCAAGAGUUCAUAUCGACGGCGGUGUUUGGCACCUCGAUGUCGGCUCAUCACAUCCUGGGGCUGAAGUAGGUCCCAAGGGUAUGGCUGUUCGCCAUUUAAAGUGGUACGCGAGCUGGGUUUAGAACGUCGUGAGACAGUUCGGUCCCUAUCUGCCGUGGGCGCUGGAGAACUGAGGGGGGCUGCUCCUAGUACGAGAGGACCGGAGUGGACGCAUCACUGGUGUUCGGGUUGUCAUGCCAAUGGCACUGCCCGGUAGCUAAAUGCGGAAGAGAUAAGUGCUGAAAGCAUCUAAGCACGAAACUUGCCCCGAGAUGAGUUCU
rnacentral:rRNA from 1 species